GCGGCGGGUGGCGAGGUCGCGGGGCACUCUCCCGGGGUUCCGGAGUCAGGCUUGGCGCUUACGCGCAGCGGUUCUCACCGCACCCUCGCAC
rnacentral:tRNA from 1 species